rnacentral:rRNA from 1 species
AGUGAACGCUGGCGGUAGGCCUAACACAUGCAAGUCGAACGGCAGCACAGGAGAGCUUGCUCUCUGGGUGGCGAGUGGCGGACGGGUGAGGAAUACAUCGGAAUCUACCUUUUCGUGGGGGAUAACGUAGGGAAACUUACGCUAAUACCGCAUACGACCUUCGGGUGAAAGCAGGGGACCUUCGGGCCUUGCGCGGAUAGAUGAGCCGAUGUCGGAUUAGCUAGUUGGCGGGGGAAAGGCCCACCAAGGCGACGAUCCGUAGCUGGUCUGAGAGGAUGAUCAGCAACACUGGAACUGGGACACGGUCCAGACUCCUACGGGAGGCAGCAGUGGGGAAUAUUGGACAAUGGGCGCAAGCCGGAUCCAGCCAUACCGCGUGGGUGAAGAAGGCCUUCGGGUUGUAAAGCCCUUUUGUUGGGAAAGAAAAGCAGCCAGUUAAUACCUGGUUGUUCUGACGGUACCCAAAGAAUAAGCACCGGCUAACUUCGUGCCAGCAGCCGCCGUAA